AAUGGCUGAGUAAGCAUUAGACUGUAAAUCUAACUACAGAGGAUAAAUCCUCUUU
rnacentral:tRNA from 1 species